rnacentral:RNase_P_RNA from 2 species
GUCAAUGUUAAUCUCGUACUUGGGAUACACCCACAGAGUGUUUGUCACUCUUAACAUCCCGGGAAGGUCUGAGUAAAAGCCACCAGUGUUUUGUGUACAUUCUAGCCGGAUGCUUCCUUAACAAGGAUGAAGAGGGAACCAGAAAUUAUGGUACAAUUUCUAGUCUAGGAUUCCUUGUCUGUGUUGAUAGGGAAGAGACAUAGUUAUUGUUACUAUUGGAAACCCUCAUGGCUGGCAGUUUUAGCACAAUUUACGAGAUGGUCAUAGCCAUAACUCAAUUCAGACUAGUCUUUCUUGGC